GCUGAUAUGGCGGAAUCGGCAGACGCGCAGGACUUAGAAUCCUGUUUCGCAAGAAGUAAGAGUUCAAGUCUCUUUAUCAGCACCA
rnacentral:tRNA from 1 species